ACGCUCGACACCUACGGGAGACAGCAGUGGGGAAUAUUGCACAAUGGGCGAAAGCCUGAUGCAGCAACGCCGCGUGAAGGAGGAAGGCCUUCGGGUCGUAAACUUCUGUCCUUGAGGAAGAAGAACUGACGGUACUCAAGGAGGAAGCCCCGGCUAACUACGUGCCAGCAGCCCGGUAAUCUGAGCGGGCUGGCAAGGC
rnacentral:rRNA from 1 species